AUGUUCCCUUGUAUCCUCAUACUGCUGACUUUAACUGAAGGUAACCUUGCUAAAGAUGUGAUCACUCCAUACAGUGAUGCAGUUUUUGCCAGUGAGACUGAGAGUGUGAAACUCUCCUGUAACUACACUGGUUCUGUUGAUGGUCUUUACUGGUAUCGACAGUAUCCAGGUUCACCACUACACUUCCUCAUAAUGGAUUAUUAUGGGUCAGUUACUCAUGCGAAUCCUCCGAUUGCUGGAAUAUCCAUCAAACACAGAAAAGAUGACAGCAGUGUGGAUCUGGAGAUCUCCUCUGCUGCAGUAUCAGACUCUGCUGUGUAUUACUGUGCUCUGAGGCCCACAGUGACAGGAAAACACUUUACAUCAUACAAAAACCCGACUGACAUGACACAGAUAAAAGUAUCAGUGUGA